rnacentral:antisense_RNA from 1 species
AUUUUUUUUUUUCAGAGAAUUCAUAGAUGAGAAGCCCUUGCUGUUUCCACAGAAGGGGCCUCAUCC